UAGUCCACGCCGUAAACGAUGUCUACUUGGAGGUUGUGGCCUUGAGCCGUGGCUUUCGGAGCUAACGCGUUAAGUAGACCGCCUGGGGAGUACGGUCGCAAGAUUAAAACUCAAAUGAAUUGACGGGGGCCCGCACAAGCGGUGGAGCAUGUGGUUUAAUUCGAUGCAACGCGAAGACCUUACCUAGGCUCUAAUGUGAGCGCAAUCUGCUGAAAGGCGGAGUUCCUUCGGGACGCGAAACAAGGUGCUGCAUGGUUGUCGUCAGCUCGUGCCGUGAGGUGUUGGGUUAAGUCCCGCAACGAGCGCAACCCCUAUCUUUAGUUGCCAGCACGUAAUGGUGGGGACUCUAGAGAGACUGCCGGCGUAAGCCGCGAGGAAGGUGGGGACGACGUCAAAUCAUCAU
rnacentral:rRNA from 1 species